CCGCGGAAUGCCUCGCGUCAGGGGCGGUAGUGGGACGUUGGGGCCCAGGCGAGGUUCAGGGUGGGGGGACUGUGGCCCUGCAGCCUCUCCAGUGCCUGGUUACAGCUGCGGAUUCUGCAGGCAAGGGCAGCUCCUGCUCCUGCGCCUGCGCCUGCACUUUGCAACCUGAGGAGAGCAUCACCGCGCAACAACUGGCUUUGGCAGCCGGUGCACUGGUUCUGACUCCCUUUACUGGGCCACCAAGCUGCCUGGACCACGGGACAUUUUCCUGAAGAGACAUGGCAAGGAACCUGAGGAGUUUCGGAAGAGAGAAUGACAUACUUCAGAGAUAACUCCGCAUUUCAAAAGAGUAUCAAGUUAAACAACCAGCCAAUGCUGAGAAAUGGAAAGAAUAGGGUGGGACAUCCUCGUCCAGAGCAGAAGAGAAAGAAGAUAGUGAGAGGAGAGAUCAACAGGAGAGGACUUGGAGCCAUGAGGAAAGAUGAACGGGACCUAAGAUAUGACUGAAAGCAAGUAUAAUGUGUAAAAUCUGAAUGGUUUUCUGCACAUCCAAAAAGUCAGCGAGAAAAAAUUCAUGAGAAUGAUGUCCAAUUUCCUUCAAGGGGUGUUGGCACCCAGCCUACCCCUCAAAGAUGAUGAUGAGCAUUGAAGAACCUCCAUAUAAAGAUGUCUUCAAAUAUGGCAAAUGAGCCAGCCAGGCAAAAAAAACAAAAGCCCUCGUUUCAUGACAGACAGAAUUUUGCCAAAAAUGGGCAAGCUUAAAUGCAAGACAAGUUGACUGCUGCACUCUGCCAAGACAGGUAAAGACUACUGAGAAUCACUCAGACAACCAACCUGCAAACAAGACCCUGAGACUAGACCAGCUGCCUGGAAAAAAGCUGAAGCAAGGAUGUCCUUAAACUUCGGAUCCUCCUGCCUUUAAGUCUCUAAUGGCUUAGAAAUACAGGUAUGAGCCACUACAAGAUGACCACACACUGCUACCAGCAGAGCUACAACAUCAGCCAACAAUGAAGUUUCUUCUAUUCAUGAUCAUGCAUGGUUGGUAUCCUUCCUUUGUUCUGCCAUUGGUUUCUUAUCUGGGUUUAUUCAGGAACCUUGAACAAUCCUCGGACCCUGGGGAAAGCCAGCCCACAGCUUAAAUAGCCUCUGGGUAGCCAACCCAAGCGUGCCACGUGGGCAAUGUAAAUAGGUCCACAUACAUGGAAGCAAGCCAGAUCCUCAGCCUUAGCCAAAUGUGGAAUUGUUCGUGACAGAGAGCACUCACCAUCGGGAAGGUGGAAGGCGGAAACCAGCUCCAUCUUUAAGGCAUAGCAUUCCGCAGCUCUUGACUUGCUCGCAUUAUAUAACUGCAGUGAAUGGAGUCUUGCUCUACACUACACUGCCUGGGCCUGAGGUACUGUUGUUGAAACCAGACACUUGGCGAUCGGGCGUGACAUCCAUCUGAAUACCUGAUUCCCAUGGCUACAAAGAGCCACACAACCUCAGGGGUGGACAUAGGCAAAUGCUGGUGCUGCAAAUGAUAGCUUUGUCUAUGUCUUUGCCUUGGGGCUUGCCUGCUUUUACCUGAUGUGUAAAGCUUUCCCCGAAAUGUGCCAACCUGGAUGACACCACCUUAAUAGGUCAUUUCCUGAUGCCCAUGAAGUUCUAAAGACACAUUUAUGACUUAGCAGGUAGAGAUAGCCAUGCUGCUGGAGGUUGAUCCCAUUGGUCACAAACACUAAGCUAAGCAGGCUAACAUAGGGUCACAAAUGUAGAAAAGGGAACAAUCAUUGAUGUUAAGAUGAGGUGUUUUUUUUCCAAGAAAACAAAAUGGGGAAUUUUGUUUUUUGAUCCAUUCAACCAACCUUUGUAUAUGAAUUAAGCCCAUUAAUAUUUAAACUUAUUAUUGCAAGGUAUGUGAUGGUUGCUGUCAUUUAGAUGUUUCUUUUUUUUUUUCUAUUUCUGUCCUCAGUUUUAUUUCUGUGUUCCAAUAAUUCUAACUUCAUUGUUUUCUUUCUGUAGCCUUUUGGGUAUACUUACUUAUUUUUUUCUUUAGUCCAAAAUAUUGCUUCCAGUAUUCUCUGUACAGCUAGAUUACUGGAUAUGAAUCCAUGCUGUUUUUCUUUUUCUGUCAGGUAUGGCAGAUAGUUUUGCUAGGUAUUCUGGCUUGAUAUCUGUGGUCAUUAGCCAUCAGGGAAAUGCAAAUCAAAACGACCCUGAGAUUUCACCUUACACCCAUCACAAGGGCCACGAUCAAAACCUCAAGUGACAACACAUGCUGGAGAGGUUGUGGAGAAAGGGGAACCCUCCUCCAUUGCUGGUGGGAAUGUAAACUGGUACAACCACUCUGGAAAUCAAUCUGAUGCUUUCUCAGACAACAAGAAAUAGCGCUUCCUCAAGAUGCAGCUAUACCACUCCUAGGCAUAUAUUCAAAAGAGGCUCAAGUACACAAUAAGGACAUUUGCUCAACCAUGUUUGUAGCAGCUUUAUUUGUAAUAGCCAGAAGCUGGAAACAAUCCAGAUGCCCUUCAGCUGAAGAAUGCAUACAGAAAUUGUGAUACAUCUACACAAUGGAAUAUUACUCAGCAAUGAAAAACAAGGAAAUCAUGAAAUUUGCAGGCAGUUCUUCCGGCUCCCCAAAACCUAUAUAUAACACCUUUGGGGCUUUCUUUGCAAUGUCAGGUCUGCUGACUGCAGAGGUUCAUGGACUGACAACACAAAAAUGUUCUCUUUUAAAAGAUGGCAUUCUAAGGUUGUUGUAGUCAUGUGAUUGGUACCUAGAAGAGAGGGUUUUCCCAGCGUCUCCUAAAGCUGCCACCAUGGACCUUCUGUCAAUUUUUCUUCUCCUGUCCAUGUCACUGAGGGGUCAAAAAGUGGCUCAGCAGUUAAGAGCACUUACUGCUCUUGCAGAAGACUCAAAUUUAGUUCCUAGAUGAGCUUCAGACAGUCCCCAACCUCAUCUAACUCCAGCUCCAGGGUAUUUACUACCCUUUUCUGGCAUCUGUGGACAAGUGCACUCAUGUUCCCUCCCCCACCUCCUCUCCCAUCCAGAGUCACUCACUUUCUUUCUCUCACUGCAAAACAAACAGGCUUUUCAAAGAUAAUAAUACAAUAAGAUAAUACGAUAAAACAAAAAUGAACACAUUGGAAUUGGAGAAGACAAACCAACAGAAGGAAAAGAGCACAAGAAAAGGCGUAAGAAUCAGAGACCCAAUCGUUUAAGUACUCAGGAGUCCCAUAAAAGCACUAUACUGGAAGCCAUGAUAUAUACAGAGAAGACCUGGUGCUGACCCUUGCAGGCCCUAUGCAUGCUGCUUCACUCUCUGUCUGUCAAGAAAAUAGCAAGCCAUGGACCUCGUACUCUUAUUCUACCAAUGUGGGACUUGUAGACAUUUAUGAUGGAGUCCUAGAUUUCUCGGUGACUGUACCAGCUUCCUAUCCUGAGAAGUAAGAGUAACUGAGCAGAAAAGAACAUAGGUGUUGCAUUGUGUGUUUCAUUCUUAUAAACUCAGCACCUAGGAAGCAAGAAGACUGCCAUGAAUUCAAGGAGUCUAGUCUGGGUUGUGAUACUGGUACUGAUAUUUUGAAGAGGAUCAGGGUCAUCACUGCCAAUGCUAUAGCUAGUGCCAAUGUCCCAGCAAGUAUGAGACACAAAUGAAUAUGGACCAUCAGAUUCAUCUUUUGCAUAUGAAUGUCAUCAUUGAUGGUAUCCAUUUGGAGGAUCCCGAUAUCACCACUCUUCUUCUAAGUCACCGGGAAUAUGUAUCAGUGAGAGCAUCAUCAAAAGAAGAGCUGCAUGCCCUGAAUGAAGAGUUCUGUUAGUUUCAUGUUCCUGCGCAGCGUUAAGUCUUGCUGACUGCUUUGCUUCAUUUGAACCUACUUUAAACAUUCCAGGAGAUUAAUGACUAUUCAAUGUUACCGACACACGUAUUAGCCCCAUUUUAUACAUAGGGAAAACCACAGAGUCGCUAAUUCCCAUCUACAGCAUCAGUGACUUACACAAAUAUGUGGUCAGUUCAGGCCCGGGAUGUCUUCAUUUUCACACACAGGGCUUCCUGGCAUUUAUGAUGUUCAGCAGGAUGUCCUCAAAUAGAAGGGAUGUCCAAAAGUAGCCUAAUUUAUAUAUCAGGGGGUCCUUCUUUUGCAUUCUCUAUUGUAGGAUAUUGAAAGUUGUUAAUCAAAACCACAUGGAAUAUAUAAGAGUCUUACCUUUUUAUCUCUCUUCUUUGAAGCCUAAAUGUCAGUGACUGCCUUAAGAGAAGCAAGUUACUGUAGACACUCUUAUGUUUCCAUGGCUACUAGAACAAGGUGAUGGUUCCUGAGAAAUGAUUAGGUUGCAAUGGGCACACAUGAAAUGCUAGAAUGGAGUCUUUAAAAUUACUUUGUUAUUGAGUCAUGCAUCAAAUACUCAUUGUAACUUAUAGAAUCCUGUGAAGACAAUUCAUGGUUGUCUACUUGACCACAUCUGAGUUAACUGAAACCCAAAGGACUAAUCACACCUCUAGGAAUUUUGUUCCUUUAUUAAAUCCCUUGAAUGCAAAGACUCAUUUGUCAUCCAGAUUUUUCAGUUGAGAAUAUAUGACAUUAAACAGACAUCAUUUGAGAUGAGAAGAGCCACCUUUAUUCUGUACCACACCUUGUGCUGGCAGCCUAUAUAAAGGACAUGGACGGAAGCUUGUUAUUGUUGUCUGCUUGCUCUCAAUCUUAGAGCAAGUCCAUCCCCUAACUGGCAUUGAAGCUCACUUUUUGAUUCUGGAAUAUACUGCAGUCAGGCUGUGACAUGCAGCCUUUUUGGUGUAAAACCUACUGCAUUCUUAGACCUUCUUUUGUUAGACAGCAGUUGUUGGAUCUGCUGAACCACACAUUGUUAGCCACUGUAAUAAAUUUCCCUUUAGGUAGAGAUAGAUACAUAGAUACAUACAUAAAUAUAUAUAUAAUAUAUAGGUAGAUAGAACAUAAUAGAUGAUACAUGAUAGAUGGAUAUAGAUAUAUAGAUAGAUAGAUCAUACAUACAUACAUACAUAGACACAUGAUAGAAAUAUAAAUCUUGAUCCUCUAAACAACCUUGACAAAUAAUCAUUGUGUUAAUAGAAGUUAUUCCAGAGUAAAAAAAAAAUCUAACAUAUUUUUGAACAUCUGGAAUAGGCUUUCCAAUUUUCCACACCUAUAGCUACUGAACACUUCUCCAGUUAUUGCAGCCACUCAGGGAAGCUCAGAGAAAACUAGAAGCCCAUGGUGUGAGCCAUUUUACAAACUUAAAGAAACAAAUGCAUUUGGUUAUCCUGAUUAAACAAUUGUGAGGAACAGGGAUUUGGUGACUCUGUAUAUGAAACAUUAAAAAAUAUGUGGAAAACAAAGAAAAUGAAGAUGCUGGUUGGUUGCUUUGGCCUUAUCAGAGGAGGAACACGGGAAAGAAAAAUAUCUAAAAACCAUCUGUAUGAAAAUUGGAGUAAAUGUCAGUUGAAUAAUGAAGUGUACUUUUCAAUACCACCUCAUCAGUGAGCUGAGCCUCAACACUAGAUAUUGAGAGAUCAAAAAUUCUCUGUCUAUAAUACUCCUUUCCAUGGAACAAAACCCAGCAACUAGCGUCUGGAUUCUAGGGAAAGCAUUGGUUUGGACCUCUGGUAUACUUGCUGCUGUCAGGAGCCUGGUAUUCAUUUUUAUCCACCAUCAGGGCCUCUCUUCUGAUGCCAGGGAUAUGUGGCAGGAGGAUUGGUGACCAAUGACAGACAGACACCUGAGAAAGAAUAAAAAUACCAAGGAGCACUGGAAGCAGACAGCUGCUUGAGGAGGACAGCUAGAGGGAGCACCGUGUGAUUAGCCACCUCUGUGACUGAAGAGCAAGUGCUGGGAGGUGGACGCCCCUUAAGAUACGGUGUUGUCAAUCACACACAUCCCAAGCUCAUCCUGGCUUCUGUGGCUCUGCCAUUCUCAUUGCGCUAGGUUUUCUGCUGAUCCCUGUCACAGUGGAGGGUGUUCAGGAAAUCAUACACCUUUUUGUUCAGAGCAGUAGCCAGAAUGCUGGCAACUGCUGAGCUGUCACCAUGGCUACGGAGAGAUUAUUUUCUAUUAGGAGAACAGUGACUCAUGUAUAAGUAGGGAAUUCUUUAGAUGUCAGUGGGGAUUGCAUGCUUCAUGCAGGAACUCAGUCAGUCAAGAUUUACCUUUGGUAUCUGGAUAUUGAGUUUUGACUGACAAGCUGUCAAUGACUGAUGUGCCCAGAACAGUCAGAUACAGAGUGACUGCAAGCAGUGCUGCCUAUAGAUGAGUAGGCUAUCCCAGGGAAAUCUCAAUGUCUGGGGCAUUAGCUUUGCCUUUGGCAUAUUAGGAACCCAGUGCUGGGAUUGCAUCACAGACCCACCUAACAGAAUGUAGUGAAACGCUUGCUGUUCAUCCUUUGGACAAGAAGAGUUGAGAUGUCAGUGAUGAUAUUGUAUUAGAGGAGCAACAUAGUCUACAUUCUGGAUAAGCUUUUCCAGUGGGGCUUGCAGGAUGAAAUGGAAGUUUCUGGAAAGGAGGACACUGGCUAGGGCCACUGCAAAAAUGCAGAAGAAAAACCAAAGCACCAUUAUAUAAAGAGUGGUAUGUUGAAACUCUGGUUAAUAUGUGUGAAGGGAGAGAUGCUGUGUAACAAGACUUUUCCUGGGAGACACAACACACACCUCUAUUCACCCGGGAUAGGAAGAACACAACAGACAAAAGUACAAAUAUCACCAAAGUCCAACUUGGUAAACCAGUGAGUUUUAUUGGUGUUACUUACAGGAAUGUGGGUGAGGGGCUACUUAAAAGAACAACAAUGACUCAAAGACACACCUGCACACACAAAACCCACUCCAGCAUGGGUGAAUGACUGCUCACAAAGGUUGGGUGGGGACGGCAGGAGCUAGAACACACUGCACAGGCUAUAGAUAGCACAAAGGCUUGGGAAGUAUCCUUUCCAGGUGCCUCGGUUGGUCUAAACAUCUUCCAGACAGAUUGACUGAUCUCUGCUGCUUCCAGGCAUCUGGUCUCAGAAUCUUCUUUUCUGAUAGGCUUCUAAGGGACUCCCAGUUGUCUUUAUGGUUUACUAUUGGGAAGGAGGAACCUAGUGAAUCAGGUCAGUUUCAGGAACUCCCUGAAGCAUGUUUGCGUUGUUUACAUUCUGGCUUUAAGAGCUCCCCUUUAGGGUGGAAUGUUUUCAAUGGUUAGGAAACUGCUAUACCACAAGAGCUGAGAUGUGUUUGGGUUGAGGCUUGAACCAAAGAUAGGACAACACAGAAGAGAGAAGAGCAGGCAUAUAGUUAUCCUAGAGUUUGUGGCUUGGGAGACUGGCUGGAAGAUUGUCUUGGGAAGGGCUUUAAAUCUUAGACACAAGAGGGAAAGGGAAAUUUGGAGCAUUACGUGGACCAGGACUAGGGUGGGAAAGAGCACAGAAGUCUUUGGUAGGUUUUAUUCGACUUCUGAAGGAGAGUCCUAGAACAGUGAAAGCCAUGAAUCCAGACACCAAGAAGAGAGCAGGGAUAAUUGGCAAGCAGCUUGUGAUGCACCAUUGUCUGUCUCUAAAGGAAUCUUUUUCCUACAGAGGAAUUUGGGGGUUGGAAGACCUGUUCUUUCUUGAUUGUGGGAGUAGCACUGUUUACAUUCAGUCACAGGCACUGUGUGCAGAAGAGUAAAAAUGUAUGGAUUUGAAAGUGUACUUCAGUGAAAAUAACCAACCUAAGUCAACAUCCUCUCAAAACACACAUUUAUUGCCAAAAUCAAUAAAUUAUGGAAGUUGUCUUUGAGUAGAAAGCAAUACAAUUAAAUAAGAGCAUAAGAAUUGGUUGAGUAAAUGGGGCAUAUUCCAUGUCAGCUGAGUGGAAGCUGGGUGAACGUUUACAUGCUGGUCUCUAUACUUAAUGCAAUGUAAUACAAGUGCUAUUUUGUGUGAAUGCCUGGUCUACUUUUUUUGUGUGUGUGUGAAUGCCUGGUGAGUGGAUUUGAUAGAAACAAAAUGCUUUCAUGUAUGAAGGAAAAAUAUUAAAGAUAAU